GGAGGCAAGCACUCCACUCAGCCUUAAACGAUGGUGAGGGGCCAUUCAGGGCCCCUCAAAGCAGAGUAUGCUGCAGAGGCCCCUGUUCUGGGUCCUGAGAGGGUGACCUGCUGGGCCGGCAGCAGAGCCAGGGCUGAGGCCCCUCCGUUCCACCUGCACUGAAGCACGAGGAGCCUGGGGACACCUGAAUGGAUCUUGGAAGGAGGAAGGGCGGGGACCAGGAAUGCAGGAUUACGAGAAACAGAGAAACCGAAGCUGGGCAGGUGCCACAAGCUGCCAAGGAGGAGGGGAACCUGUUGGCCCCUCACAUUUUUGGCAGGGGUGGGGCUGGGCCUGGGAAGGGACAGAUUGAUUUGAUAAAGCUGGAGGUAGCCAGGAACCUGACCAUCUGUGAUGCGGGUGGGAGAUCUCUCACUAAGGGGAAG
rnacentral:lncRNA from 1 species